rnacentral:rRNA from 1 species
UACGUGAAACCGUUGAAAGGGAAGCGAAUGGAGUUAGCAAUUCGCCCUGCCAGAUUCAGUUGCUCGUGCCUCGCGACGUGCGCGCUCUCGAUCCGCAUGGACGAGACGUGUGCGGGCGCGGCGUGCGGUCGGCGCACUUCUGGCGAGCGAGCGUCAGCGUCGGUUGCCGGCGGGCGACAAGGACACGAGGAAGGUGGACCGGCCUUUACGGUCGGUUGUUAAGCCUCGUGCUCGCAUAGCCCGACGGCGACCGUGGCCCUGCGACGCGUGCCUGGCUGGUGACUCGUACGAUCGGUCUGGCAUAACGACCGUGGCGGACGGCACGCCUGUGCGCUCGAACCGCUGCCGGUCGAUCGAACGAUGUUCGCACACUACGCGUCGAGGAUGCUGACGGCCAUACGGCUCCAUCCGACCCGUCUUGAAACACGGACCAAGGAGUCUAA